rnacentral:rRNA from 1 species
CCUGACUGCUAUCGGAUUGAUACUAAGCCAUGCGAGUCUUUGUAGUAAUACAAGGCAGACGGCUCAGUAACACGUAGUCAACCUACCCUAUGGACAAGAAUAAUCUCGGGAAACUGGGCAUAAUUCUUGAUAGAUCAUAAUGCCUGGAAUGGUUUAUGGUUAAAAUGAUUCGUCGCCAUAGGAUGGGACUGCGGCCUAUCAGCUUGUUGGUGAGGUAAUGGCCCACCAAGGCGAUUACAGGUACGGGCUCUGAGAGGAGAAGCCCGGAGAUGGGUACUGAGACACGGACCCAGGCCCUAUGGGGCGCAGCAGGCGAGAAAACUUUGCAAUGUGCGAAAGCACGACAAGGUUAAUCCGAGUGAUUUCUGCUAAAGAAAUCUUUUGCCAGUCGUAAAACCGCUGGUGAAUAAGGGGUGGGCAAGUUCUGGUGUCAGCCGCCGCGGUAAAACCAGCACCUCAAGUGGUCAGGAUGAUUAUUGGGCCUAAAGCAUCCGUAGCCUGCUCUGUAAGUUUUCGGUUAAAUCUGUAUGCUCAACAUACAGGCCGCCGGGAAUACUGCAGAGCUAGGGAGUGGGAGAGGUAGACGGUACUCGGGAGGAAGUGGUAAAAUGCUUUGAUCUCUCGAUGACCACCUGUGGCGAAGGCGGUCUACCAGAACACGUCCGACGGUGAGGGAUGAAAGCUGGGGGAGCAAACCGGAUUAGAUACCCGGGUAGUCCCAGCUGUAAACGAUGCAGACUCGAUGAUGCAUUGGCAUAAUAGCCAUUGCAGUGUCGCAGGGAAGCCGUUAAGUCUGCCGCCUGGGAAGUACGUACGCAAGUAUGAAACUUAAAGGAAUUGGCGGGGGAGCACCACAAGGGGUGAAGCCUGCGGUUC